rnacentral:misc_RNA from 1 species
GGAAAAGGCCAAUAGAUCCCCGUGUAUUCGGUGAUGAUAACAAUCUUGUUGGAUGGGCAAAGCAACUUCAUAACGAUAAACAAAGUCACGAGAUUCUUGAUCCUGAGCUAAUAACAAAUCUAUCUGGUGAUGCUGAACUCUAUCAUUACUUGAAAGUUGCAUUUGAAUGCCUUGAUGAGAAAUCUUACAAAAGGCCAACAAUGAUACAAGUGAUGACCAAGUUUAAAGAAGUACAAACUGAUUCAGAAAGCGAUAUUCUUGAUGGCAUUUCAGUGAAAGGUUCUAUACUCGAGGAAUCGCAAGAAAGGGAACCGUAAAUCAAUGAUAUUUGAUCUUUUUGUGGUUAGAAUUCUCUUCUUUUUUUCUCUUUU